UAAUACGUAGGGGGCUAGCGUUGUCCGGAAUCAUUGGGCGUAAAGCGCGCGUAGGCGGCCCGGUAAGUCCGCUCUGAAAGUCCAGGGCUCAACCCUGGAAAGCGGGUGGAUACUGCCGGGCUAGAAUCCGGAAGAGGCGAGUGGAAUUCCUGGUGUAGCGGUGGAAUGCGCAGAUAUCAGGAGGAACACCAAUAGCGAAGGCAGCUCGCUGGGACGGUAUUGACGCUGAGGCGCGAAAGCGUGGGGAGCAAACAGGAUUAGAUACCCUGGUAGUCCACGCCGUAAACGAUGGGCACUAGGUGUGGGAGGUGUCGACUCCUCCCGUGCCGACGCUAACGCAUUAAGUGCCCCGCCUGGGGAGUACGGCCGCAAGGCUA
rnacentral:rRNA from 1 species